rnacentral:rRNA from 1 species
ACGAACGCUGGCGGCGUGCUUAACACCUGCAAGUCGAACGGAAAGGCCCUGCUUUUGUGGGGUGCUCGAGUGGCGAACGGGUGAGUAACACGUGAGUAACCUGCCCUUGACUUUGGGAUAACUUCAGGAAACUGGGGCUAAUACCGGAUAGGAUCUCCUGCUGCAUGGUGGGGGUUGGAAAGUUUCGGCGGUUGGGGAUGGACUCGCGGCUUAUCAGCUUGUUGGUGGGGUAGUGGCUUACCAAGGCUUUGACGGGUAGCCGGCCUGAGAGGGUGACCGGCCACAUUGGGACUGAGAUACGGCCCAGACUCCUACGGGAGGCAGCAGUGGGGAAUAUUGCACAAUGGGCGGAAGCCUGAUGCAGCAACGCCGCGUGCGGGAUGACGGCCUUCGGGUUGUAAACCGCUUUCGCCUGUGACGAAGCGUGAGUGACGGUAAUGGGUAAAGAAGCACCGGCUAACUACGUG